GGGGAAGGAGCACCUGAUGCGCGCCCACUUCGGGCUGCCCAGCGUGGAGAAGGAGGAGGAGGAGGGGCGGCCGCCCAUCAGCGUCCGCUUCGAGAUCCCCUAUUUCACCGUCUCGGGCAUCCAGGUGCGGUACAUGAAGAUCAUCGAGAAGAGCGGGUACCAGGCGCUGCCCUGGGUGCGGUACAUCACCCAGAGCGGGGAUUACCAGCUCCGCACCAGCUAAGGGGGGACCCCCAGAGACCCCCUGGGACCCCCAGGGACCCCCCCCUUCCCGAUCCCCCACCCUUUGCCCACCCUCCUCCUCCUCCUCCUCCUCUGCC